GGUCCGUGUCUGCCAGAGAGGCCCGAGGAGCUAGGGUUCGGCUGGCAGUUUCUGGAAAUUUUGGUCACUGUGCUGGCGCGGCUGAUCCCCCCGCCCCCGUUCUGCCCUCGGGGAGGCCCCGGGGCUGGUGAGGCCCGGGUAAUAAGAGACGCUUAAGUGGGGUGUUGCCGCGGUAGCCUUGUCAAAACCUGUCAAAUGGAAGGUGGGAUAGAGGCGUAGUUGUCGUCACUCCCGAGUUUCCAAGGCGGUUGCCGUGACAACGGUGAACCUUUCGAGGUCUCGAAGGGAUAGAGGCAAAGGCGGAAGUUCUCUCUAAUGCUAAAACACCAAGACCCCAGGCGUUUUGGAGUGCGAUCUGUGGUCUUCGGAGAAGAAACUACGGAGCUGCCAAAAUGGGAGGAAAUUUUAUAAUAUAGGGCCUCUUCCGUGGAGAAACCGAGAUCCAGAGUGGCAAUGACUCGCCCUGCUAUGCAAUGUGGACUAGAACUGGUGUCAGUGGAUCCCCAGUUCUCAGCAGGAAAGUCUUGAAUGGUCUCCAAAUAACAGAAGAGACUAUAAAAUUCAGCUUCCCAUCUGGUUCUUCAUGGUCCAAGAAAAUACGGCAAUUUCAACUCCAGAGAGACAAGUGCUCAAAUCAUGAAAGCUUAAACCUAGCCUGUCGUAGAAUCCCCAAAGAGUAGCAUGAACUUGACUCAGGAAGAAAAGUGAAGAAAGCAUCAUUUACUCUGUAAGGAUGAAUUCCCUGGUGGCCUCAAAGUGGGUUUUCUCAUCACAGAAUUACUGGAGCAGCACGGGAGGCCGCAUGCAGGCAGACAGAUGGAUGCACUGCAGCAGCUGGGUGGCAUUUCCUGAGGUGCAACCUGACUUCGGGUCACGCAUGAGAAGUGAAGGCAGCGGGUGGGAUCCCAAACACUGGGGGUCUCCAUCUAUAGGGAGACAAGUAGGGAGGGGCCUUUAUGAGACCGAAGUGGGGUCUCCAAACUGGCUUUUGGCUCACUCUUCAGGAGAUUCAAGGUGGAGCCACUCUUCUGAUGUUGAAAAAUGUGCUGUGGAGAACAAGACACAAGUUCCCCAGGGCCAAGGAUGACCCAGAAGCAUCUGGAAAGGCGAGCUGAGUUAGGAAUCCCCGUAGAGCAACAUCCCUUAACUGCAGUGGUUGACCACAGACAAUGAAGGAAAUGCCCGUUUUGGGUUUUGUUUUUUUUUUACUCAAGAACCAAAAGACAAAAGCAAGAUGACAGGGAGAUGCAGCUGCAGCACCAGAGAAACCCCACUGGAAGUGGGAUUGCAGGUAGUUUUGUUUGUUUAUUUAUCAAUAAAAAAUAUUAACAGCAAUUAAAAAAUUAAA